rnacentral:rRNA from 1 species
CUAAGAAUCUUGCGCAAUGGGCGAAAGCCUGACGCAGCGACGCCGCGUGGGGGAGGAAGGCCUUCGGGUCGUAAACCCCUUUUGCGAGGGAAGAAGUCCUGACGGUACCUCGCGAAUAAGCCACGGCUAACUACGUGCCAGCAGCCGCGGUAAUACGUAGGUGGCGAGCGUUGUCCGGAUUUACUGGGCGUAAAGCGCCCGCAGGCGGCCUGUCAAGUCUCGGGUGAAAUCUCCCGGCUCAACUGGGAGGGGUCCCGAGAAACUGGCAGGC